AAGAUCCCUGGCUGCCCCCUGGAUCCGAGUUAAUUGCUCUUGGGACAAGCUUUGCAGCCCUCCAGAGGUGGAUUCAUUACUGACUGAACUAUCAGGGAAGCCUUACAGAAGACUGUCUUCACCUGCCUUUGAAGGUCAGGACAACAGACACUCCUAACCCCAGAGAGAGGACAAAGGUGAAGAUGGUAAGGUGUGGCUGACUCCUGCUCCUGAGCCUUGGCCCUUCUGUAGCCCCAGGGCUGUGGCUGAGACCCUCACAUUCUGGGGAGAGAGAGAAAAGCCCCGGGGUUUAGAACCUCACAAAGAAGAGUGCAGGAAGCUUCGAACACCAGGGGAACUGUGCACUUUCAAAGCUGAUGGUGGGAUGGUGCCUCUGCGAUCAACAGGGUCGAUGCAGGGCACAGGUGAGAAUGGAAAAACAGCUGCCGAGGGAAACAGAGAGCUUCUCAAGUCACCCCUGUCCCCCUUUACCGCACCAUCAGUCUUUCGACAAAACCCGAGCUUCCGGUGGUGGCCCCUCCACUCUGGUGGAGACCCCUCCACUCUGGUGGAGACUGAUCGCUGUGA